GGUGAGUCGGCCCCUAAGGCGAGGACGAAAGUCGUAGUCGAUGGGAAGCAGGUUAAUAUUCCUGCACCUCGCGUAAGUGCGAUGGAGGGACGGAGAAGGUUAGGUGUACCAGGCGUUGGUUGUCCUGGGGAAAGGCGGUAGGUUUGGAUCUUUGGCAAAUCCGGGAUCCUUUAAGACCGAGCACCGAGACGAGCCUUUAUGGCGAAGUCACUGAUACCACGCUUCCAGGAAAAGCUCCUAAGCUUCAGCUUACGCAGACCGUACCGUAAACCGACACAGGUGGGUAGGAUGAGAAUUCUCAGGCGCUUGAGAGAACUCGGGUGAAGGAACUAGGCAACAUGGCACCGUAACUUCGGGAGAAGGUGCACCCUUUUUGGUGGCUCGUGCGAGCUAUAGCUGAAGAGGGUCGCAGUAACCAGGCCGCUGCGACUGUUUAUCAAAAACACAGCACUCUGCAAA
rnacentral:rRNA from 1 species